AACGAACGCUGGCGGCAGGCUUAACACAUGCAAGUCGAGCGCCUCGCAAGAGGAGCGGCUGCCGGGUGAGUAACGCGUGGGAACGUACCCUUAUCUUCGGAAUAGCUCUGGGAAACUGGAAGUAAUACCGAAUGUGCCCUUAGGGGGCAAGAUUUAUCGGAUAAGGAUCGGCCCGCGUUGGAUUAGCUAGUUGGUGGGGUAAAGGCCUACCAAGGCGACGAUCCAUAGCUGUUCUGAGAGGAUGAUCAGCCACAUUGGGACUGAGACACGGCCCAAACUCCUACGGGAGGCAGCAGUGGGGAAUAUUGGACAAUGGGCGCAAGCCUGAUCCAGCCAUGCCGCGUGAGUGAUGAAGGCCUUAGGGUUGUAAAGCUCUUUCACCGGAGAAGAUAAUGACGGUAUCCGGAGAAGAAGCCCCGGCUAACUUCGUG
rnacentral:rRNA from 1 species